rnacentral:rRNA from 1 species
UUUCCUACGGGGGGCAGCAGUGAGGAAUAUUGGUCAAUGGGAGAGAUCCUGAACCAGCCAAGCCGCGUGAGGGAAGACGGCCCUAUGGGUUGUAAACCUCUUUUGUCGGGGAGCAAAGAGGCCACGUGUGGUCAAAAGCGAGAGUACCCGAAGAAAAAGCAUCGGCUGACUCCGUGCCAGCAGCCGCGGUAAUACGGAGGAUGCGAGCGUUAUCCGGAUUUAUUGGGUUUAA